CACCGGCAGCCCAAGUGAUGGCCGAUAUUAUUGGGCCUAAAGCGUCCGUAGCUGGCCGGGCAAGUCCGUCGGGAAAUCCACGCGCUUAACGCGUGGGCGUCCGGCGGAAACUGUUCGGCUUGGGACCGGAAGAUCCGAGGGGUACGUCCGGGGUAGGAGUGAAAUCCCGUAAUCCUGGACGGACCACCGAUGGCGAAAGCACCUCGGAAGGACGGAUCCGACAGUGAGGGACGAAAGCUAGGGUCUCGAA
rnacentral:rRNA from 1 species